rnacentral:rRNA from 1 species
UACGUAGGGAGCAAGCGUUGUCCGGAAUCAUUGGGCGUAAAGCGCGCGUAGGUGGCUCUAUAAGUCCGUUGUGAAAGUCAAAGGCUCAACCUUUGAAUGUCAGCGGAUACUGCCGGGCUAGAGUCCGGAAGAGGCGAGUGGAACUCCUGGUGUAGCGGUGGAAUGCGCAGAUAUCAGGAAGAACACCAACGGCGAAGGCAGCUCGCUGGGACGGAACUGACGCUAAGGCGCGAAAGCGUGGGGAGCGAACAGG